AAACCAUGGUGUGGGCAUCUUCUUAAUAGUUCCUUGAAGCGCUCCCAUGCAUCAUACAAAGUCUCUUGGUCCCAUUGACAAAAAUUGUUUAUAUCACUUUUCAAUUU